rnacentral:lncRNA from 1 species
AAAAGAGACUCAUUUUGGAGUUAAAGAACAGUUUCCAAAAGAAAUCGAACAACAACGAAAACUUUUAUACCCAGUUGCAAAACAGGCAAGAAAAGUACGUAUGGUAAGAGACAAAUUGUACAUUGAUGGUGAUUUGAACAAACCAAACACUGAAGGCGUUGGAAACGAAAAUGUACAAGAUGUUUUGAGUUUUAUACAGCGGAGAAAUAUAACACAACAAUACGAAAGAUCAACAAAUGAACCUCAAUUAUCGCAGCUUGAAAGGUUUCCACGUGUUCAAACAAGAUUUGACUACCAAACAGUAAAGAACGCAGACAAUUCUAGAAGAAAUACCUAACAAUUAACAGUGUUUCAAACAUGAAACCAAAAUAUUCUACUUUAAAGAGAAAAGGGAACAUUACUUCGUUAAAUUAUUGCUUUGCUAUUAAUCAUUUUUAAAGACAAUCCGGUACAUGUAUAAAUGUUUCUAUGAAAACCUCUUGUUUCACCAUCGCUGUGACAGAGGGUUACUUUGUUGUUAUUGUUUUCUGUUAUACCAUUGUAUCCACAAAGGUUUUACGGAAUAAACUUGUCAAACUUGUCAAACUUGUCAAAAUUUAUAUGAUUGCAAAAAUGUAAUGUCCAUGUUUCAGUCUAUGGUAAAAUAUGUACAGGGUUUUCCCUUUUUUUUUUUUUUUUAUUAUACCUCACAUGUCUCCUCAGACAGAUUAUUUUUUAGACAAAGAAUCUUUAGAAACAUUCAUUCAUAAUGAAAAACAGAUAUAAAAAAAAUUGAUAAUGUCAACCUCAGUGAAGGAAACCUAAAAUUCCUUUCACCAAUUAUUUUCUUUGCCAAUUGCAAUUUUCACAGCCAGCAGAAAUCCUAUACUUGUUAUGGUCACUACCAAUCAGUUACAUUUAUUACUUCAUGAAGACCAUCUGUUUGGUGACUCUUAUAUAUUUUGUCAUGUUAUAUAGUUAAAUUAUUUGAUCCAACCAUUUUUAUUAUGAAAACGUUUUGAACAUAUUACUAGUAUAUAUCACAUAAUUGACCAAUAUAGAAUACAUACUAUAAUUUUUGAAUGUCUUAAGGAAACACUAUUGUUAUUUUC